rnacentral:rRNA from 1 species
UGGGGAAUAUUGGACAAUGGGCGCAAGCCUGAUCCAGCCAUGCCGCGUGUGUGAAGAAGGCCUUUUGGUUGUAAAGCACUUUAAGCGAGGAGAAGGCUACUUGGAUUAAUACUCUAGGAUAGUGGACGUUACUCGCAGAAUAAGCACCGGCUAACUCUGUGCCAGCAGCCGCGGUAAUACAGAGGGUGCGAGCGUUAAUCGGAUUUACUGGGCGUAAAGCGUGCGUAGGCGGCUUCUUAAGUCGGAUGUGAAAUCCCUGAGCUUAACUUAGGAAUUGCAUUCGAUACUGGGAAGCUAGAGUAUGGGAGAGGAUGGUAGAAUUCCAGGUGUAGCGGUGAAAUGCGUAGAGAUCUGGAGGAAUACCGAUGGCGAAGGCAGCCAUCUGGCCUAAUACUGACGCUGAGGUACGAAAGCAUGGGGAGCAAACAGG